rnacentral:rRNA from 1 species
AUUGAACGCUGGCGGCAGGCCUAACACAUGCAAGUCGAGCGGAUGAAGGGAGCUUGCUCCUGGAUUCAGCGGCGGACGGGUGAGUAAUGCCUAGGAAUCUGCCUGGUAGUGGGGGAUAACGUCCGGAAACGGGCGCUAAUACCGCAUACGUCCUGAUGGUGAAAGUGGGGGAUCUUCGGACCUCACGCUAUCAGAUGAGCCUAGGUCGGAUUAGCUAGUUGGUGGGGUAAAGGCUUACCAAGGCGACGAUCCGUAACUGGUCUGAGAGGAUGAUCAGUCACACUGGAACUGAGACACGGUCCAGACUCCUACGGGAGGCAGCAGUGGGGAAUAUUGGACAAUGGGCGAAAGCCUGAUCCAGCAAUGCCGCGUGUGUGAAGAAGGUCUUCGGAUUGUAAAGCACUUUAAGUUGGGAGGAAGGGCAGUAAGUGAAUACCUUGCUGUUUUGACGUUACCAACAGAAAAAGCACCGGCUAACUUCGUG